CAUAACCUUUAGCUAAACCAGUAUUAAAGGCAACGCCUGCCCAGUGAAUAAUUAAACGGCCGCGGUACCCUAACCGUGCAAAGGUAGCGUAAUCAUUUGUCUAUUAAUUGUAGACCCGUAUGAAAGGCAUAAUGAGGGUUUAACUGUCUCUUUUAGUAAAUCAAUUAAACUGAUCUCCUAGUCCAAAAGCUAGGAUACCAACAUAAGACCAGAAGACCCUGUGAAACUUUAACUAAAAUAUUAAAACCUAUAAUAACUACUUUAGGUUGGGGCGACCUUGGAAAAUAAAAGAACUUCCACACACAUAUUAUAUAAUAAUAUAUAACCGGCCAACAAGCCUACAACGACCCAGCACAGCUGACAAUUGAACCAAGCUACUCCAGGGAUAACAGCGCUAUCUUCUUCAAGAGCCCAUAUCAAAAAGAAGGUUUACGACCUCGAUGUUGGAUCAGGACAUCCUGAUGGUGCAACCGCUAUUAAGGGUUCGUUUGUUCAACGAUUAAUAGUCCUACGUGAUCUG
rnacentral:rRNA from 1 species